rnacentral:rRNA from 1 species
GUGGGGAAUAUUGCACAAUGGGCGAAAGCCUGAUGCAGCAACGCCGCGUGAGGGACGACGGCCUUCGGGUUGUAAACCUCUUUUAGUAGGGAAGAAGCGAAAGUGACGGUACCUGCAGAAAAAGCACCGGCUAACUACGUGCCAGCAGCCGCGGUAAUACGUAGGGUGCAAGCGUUAUCCGGAAUUAUUGGGCGUAAAGAGCUCGUAGGCGGUCUGUCGCGUCUGCUGUGAAAACGGGAGGCUCAACCUCCAGCCUGCAGUGGGUACGGGCAGACUAGAGUGCGGUAGGGGAGAUUGGAAUUCCUGGUGUAGCGGUGGAAUGCGCAGAUAUCAGGAGGAACACCGAUGGCGAAGGCAGAUCUCUGGGCCGUAACUGACGCUGAGGAGCGAAAGCGUGGGGAGCGAACAGGAUUAGAUACCCUAGUAGUCC